rfam:Schistosoma margrebowiei strain Zambia genome assembly, scaffold: SMRZ_contig0000774
AUUCAGCUGAUGAGUCCCAAAUAGGAGAAAACGCACGUCCUGAAU